AUGGGCACCGGAGACGCCGGCGGCGACGGCGCGGGCCCAGGCCAGGCCGCCUUCGAGGAGCCGACUCAAACUCUGCAGAUGCCGUUUGCCAAGAAGCUGCAGACACACCGUCCACAAUCAUGGUCAGCCCUGCCAUCAGAUCUUGCUGGUCUGGUCCUUCGUCGCCUCCCUUCCCAUGCCGACCGUGUGCGCUUCGCUGCUGUAUGUCACCAUUGGUGCUUCUCCAGACAAGAGCAUUGCCUGCCCCCACCUUUACCAUGGCUUGCAUUCCCUGAUGGAACCUUGUUCGGCCUUCCCCAUGGAGAAGGGGCAAAAGAAUCCUUCAAGCUCCCCAGCAGUGCCAACUACUGCAUGUCCGGCGGUGACUGGCUUGUCUUCUCACACAAUGGCACCUGUUUCCUAAUGGACCCCUUCUCCGAGGUCACCUUGACGCUUCCUAACAUAUCUUCUUUCUGUCGUGUGGAUGAGCCUGCUGGAAUUAUUAAUGAUCGCCAUGUCAUGGAUGAAUAUAUGGUUGGUCUUGUGCUACACAGGGAUACUGCGAUAUUUCUGCGCAAGGUAAUAAGAUGCUCGGAAUUCCUUGUUUCUGCCAUCGUUGACAUUCCGCCUCUUCGCACUGUUGCAUACUGCCAACCGGGUUCAACCUCAUGGCUGGUCAGUGGACUUGGCAGCAUAGCGUCGUUCAUAGACAUGAUGUUCUAUGAAGGUAUGUUGUAUAUCAUUGACAGGUCCAACAACCUUUUGGGAAUCAACGUCGGAGAGGACAAUGAUAACGGAAAGUUAAGGGUAUCUCGGAUCGAGCGUCUACUCGAUGGUGCCCCCUGCGGCUUUAAGUAUUUCCGAGGUUGCCUCUCUUACUUCGAUUCGUAUCUAGUUGAAUCUCAUGGUGCACUACUGCUAGUACGGAGAGAAAUAUUUUAUAUACGUGAUAAUGACAUGAUUGGUGCUACCAAGCCUGCAGUAGGGAUUGAAUUCGAGGUGUCUCAGUCAGACUUCCAGUCCCGAAGUUGGGUGAAGGUGAGCAGUGUUGGGGAUGACCAGGCAUUGUUCAUCAGCAAGGGUUCCUCCAGAUUUGUUGACGUGUCUCGGUACAAGCUGAAUGGGAAUUGCAUAUACUUCCUGGACGAUGGCAGCUGUGACUGGUUCUGGAAGGAUGCGCCAAGUUCAUGUGCAGUAUAUGACAUGCGGGAUGGAAAUUGUUUCUUCAUACCACUGCCGACAGUACGAUCCAAGGACGUCAAAAUGCUAGCGGCAUGGCUUUUCCCUCAGAGCUGA
rnacentral:rRNA from 1 species